rnacentral:rRNA from 1 species
AGGGUGCAAGCGUUACUCGGAAUCACUGGGCGUAAAGCGCGCGCAGGCGGCUAGAUAAGUUGGAAGUGAAAUCCUAUGGCUCAACCAUAGAACUGCUUCCAAAACUGUUUAGCUAGAGUCUGGGAGGGGAAGAUGGAAUUAGUAGUGUAGGGGUAAAAUCCGUAGAGAUUACUAGGAAUACCAAAAGCGAAGGCGAUCUUCUGGAACAGUACUGACGCUGAGGCGCGAAAGCGUGGGGAGCAAACAGGAUUAGAUACCCUGGUAGUCCACGCCCUAAACGAUGAAUGUUAGUCGUCGGGACUCUAGUAGUUUCGGUGAUGCAGUUAACACAUUAAACAUUCCGCCUGGGGAGUACGGUCGCAAGAUUAAAACUCAAAGGAAUAGACGGGGACCCGCACAAGUGGUGGAGCAUGUGGUUUAAUUCGAAGAUACGCGAAGAACCUUACCUAGCCUUGACAUAUUUUAGAACUCCGCAGAGAUGUAGAGGUGCCUUCGGGAGCUAAUAUACAGGUGCUGCACGGCUGUCGUCAGCUCGUGUCGUGAGAUGUUGGGUUAAGUCCCGCAACGAGCGCAACCCUCGUUCUUAGUUACUAACGGUUCGGCCGAGGACUCUAAGAAGACUGCCUUCGUAAGGAGGAGGAAGGUGAGGACGACGUCAAGUCAUCAUGGCCCUUACGGCUAGGGCAACACACGUGCUACAAUGGUUAGGACAAUGAGACGCAAUACCGCGAGGUGGAGCAAAUCUAUAAACCUAAUCUCAGUUCGGAUUGUAGUCUGCAACUCGACUACAUGAAGCUGGAAUCACUAGUAAUCGUAGAUCAGCUAUGCUACGGUGAAUACGUUCCCGGGUCUU